GCAUAAUCAAUUGCCCCUUAAUUAGGGGCUAGAAUGAAUGACUACACGAUAGUUUAACUAUGAUUCAAGAUAAAAUAAAAAUUAACCUUCAAGUGAAAAGGCUUGAAUAAAAUAAAAAGACAAAAAGACCCUAUCAAGCUUAAUAUUUACUUAUCUCCCACGUAAGAUAUAUUUUACUGGGGCGGUAGUGGAAUAUCACUAACUUCCAUUUACAAUUUAGAAAUUAACUCGCAAAAAAUUUUUUAUAAAAAGAAAGCUACUGUAGGGAUAACAGGCUAAUAUUUUCUCAGAGAACAAAUUAAAGAAAGUGUAUGGCACCUCGAUGUUGGCUUAGGAGAACUGUGCCCCGCAGAAGGGGCACAAGUUAGUUUGUUCAACUAUUAAACUCCU
rnacentral:rRNA from 1 species